rnacentral:rRNA from 1 species
AGCUCCAAUAGCGUAUAUUAAAGUUGUUGCAGUUAAAAAGCUCGUAGUUGAACUUCAGAUCUGGUCGGGUGGUCCGCUUAACAGCGUGUUACUGCUUGACUGGGUCUUGUCUCUUGGUGAACCAUCGUGUCCUUUAUUGGAUGCUUUGCGGAACCAGGACUUUUACCUUGAGAAAAUUAGAGUGUUCAAAGCAGGCCUUUGCCUGAAUACAUUAGCAUGGAAUAAUAGAAUAGGACGUGCGGUUCUAUUU